GUUGUCAGUUUGGUUCCCAAGUACUCAGGAGCGCCUGUGGGGAAGU
rnacentral:antisense_RNA from 1 species